rnacentral:rRNA from 1 species
UACGAAGGGUGCAAACGUUGCUCGGAAUUAUUGGGCGUAAAGCGCACGUAGGCGGCAUUGCAAGUCGGAUGUGAAAUCCCUCGGCUCAACCAAGGAAGUGCAUCCGAAACUGCAGUGCUUGAGUACGAAAGAGGAUCGCGGAAUUCCCGGUGUAGAGGUGAAAUUCGUAGAUAUCGGGAGGAACACCAGUGGCGAAGGCGGCGAUCUGGGUCGAUACUGACGCUGAGGUGCGAAAGCGUGGGGAGCAAACAGG